UGACAGAGUAUCUGAAAGCUUUCCUCUGU
rnacentral:piRNA from 2 species